UACGCAGGUGGCGAGCGUUGUCCGGAUUUAUUGGGUUUAAAGGGUGCGUAGGCGGCUUUGUAAGUCAGUGGUGAAAUACUCCAGCUUAACUGGAGGGGUGCCAUUGAUACUGCGGAGCUUGAGUACAGAUGAGGUAGGCGGAAUUGACGGUGUAGCGGUGAAAUGCAUAGAUAUCGUCAAGAACACCGAUAGCGAAGGCAGCUUACUGGGCUGUAACUGACGCUGAUGCACGAAAGUGUGGGGAUCAAACAGG
rnacentral:rRNA from 1 species